GCGUCCCUUGCACCAGCCCUGCUCAUCCUCGUCCUCCAUCUUGGUCAGCUCAUCCCCUGCAAGACAAAGAGGGAGCCGUCUCCAUGAGAGCACCUGGCUGAUGACUUGUGCACGGUGCCAUGUGUCAACCCUUCCUGAGACCCUGAGAAGGAGCCCCUGGCGCUGUUCUGGAAUCUCCCUGUGGCUCUAAUAAUUAGAUGCAGUUUUCCCCCUGGUUUAGCAUUUCCCUGAUGCUUUGGAUUUUGUAUGGCAGCAAUGCUGGUCAACAUGCCUGCGGAGCUAAUACCUGGGGCUUCCAGUGCUCCCCGGACUGCCUGGGCUCAAAUCCCACAGCCAUCACUCACUGGCUGGGAGACCUGGACCAACUGCGUCCACUCCCUGGGCCUGUGGCCCUCAUCUGUGGACUGGGGGUACUGUGAAGAUUAAGUGUUAAGACACUAAAGAACCCUGGGAGGGUGGGACAUGCGUAAGCACUGGCUCAGCCUCCCACUGUCGUGCCGCUUCUGCCAGACCAGUGCGCCUGCAGAUCUAACCCAGAGGCAUCAGGAGCAGAUGCAGGGGCCACAGGGCAGCAGCCACGAUGAACCACCAUCUCUUUCCACCGCUUCGUGCCUCGGGCCCCUGGCGUUUCUUUUGUCCUGCCUUCAUUGGUUGCUGUGCUCUCACAGGCCUGGAUCCAGGCUACCGAGGCUAGGAUGAGGCCUGUAACCCCACACUACCAUGUGGCAAACAGCCAGAACACCGCAAGAGACGUAAGUCAAGCCACACUGGCUGGGAGCUAAUUUUGCAUUGUUAAAAAGCAGGAUAACACAGAAAAUAGAACGGACAGGAAAGCUUUCACAUUGUGCAAAUGUGAACUGGUGAUUAGAAGGUUCAUUUCAAUCAGUUUGCUUUUGACAAUUUACUUGGAUCUGGAAGAAACAUUUUAAAUCUACAAAAUUACUGUCAAACCCAAUAGGCAGGAUUGAAAAGGAGUUAGAAAUUAUAAACAAAUAAACCAACAAAGUCGGGGGUAACAACCCCAACCAAAGAUAUCAGAAACUGGAUGAAGAUGGCUUAAAGGCACAUUAAAAAAAAAUCCAAAAAAACAAAAAAACCCAACUUCUCAAACUGGGCAGAGGCAGCUGAUAACCAGCCCAGGGGAAGAGUGUCUGGGGACAGCAGGCUGGCACUCUGGGUGCUGAGGGGAGGAGGCUGAAGACUGGUUAGAAGCUAGGCCAUUGGGCACAGCCCCCAGGCCCUGGCUUCCCUGCUGAGUCAGGGGUUGGGGUGGUGGUGGUAAGGCAGCCUUUCCCACAAGUGUAGCCUAGGGGCAAGGGCACACUUCAGCCUGUGUGGGUUGAGUUCUGGCCCAGCUUCCCUCUUGGAGUGGUAGAUGCUGCUUCUGGGGGAGCUUCACAAAGAGGGCAAGAGAGGGAAGAAUCUGGGUUGCUGUGGGUCCACUUUGGCCCUAGGCCACUCCAGCUUCCUUAGGUGCUAAGAUAGCAAUUUUCUUUCCUUUUUUUUUUUUUGAGACAGAGUGUCACUCCAUCACCCAGGCUGGAGUGCAGUGGUAUGAUCUCAGCUCACUGCAACCUCCACCUCCCAGGUUCAAGUGAUUCUCUUGGCCUCCCCAGUAGCUGGGAUUACAGGUGUGUGCCACCAUGCCUGAAUAAUUUUUUUAUUUUUUAAUAGAGGCAGGGUUUCACCAUGUUGGCCAGGCUGGUCUCAAACUCCUGACCUCAAGUGAUCCUUCGGCCUUGGCCUCGCAAAGUGCUGGGAUUACAGGUGUGAGCCAUCGUGCCCGGACAAGAUAACACUUUUCAAAUUGAAGAUGUGAAAAGCCAUUUUGGUAAACUGCAAAUGCAUUAAAAAAGAUUCCUAUAGUGGGUGGGGUGGUAGCACACAUCUGUGGUCCCAGCUACGUAGGAGGCUGAGGUGGGAGGACUGCUUGAGCCCAGGAGAUCAAGGCUGCAGCUGCUGUGAGCUAUGAUCGCACCACUGUAACCCAGCUUGGCUAACAGAGUGAGACCGUGUCUCUAUUAAAAAAAAAAAAAAAAAAGAUUAUCAUUGAAGACCAUUCAAAGAAGAAAAAGACAUUGCACAGAAAGUCUUCACAGGCAGAGCACAUGUAAUCAGGAUCCAGGCUGUUUUAUAAAACUAUGGUUUCUGCUCCUAGCAACACAGAUAUGUGUGUGGGUUGGUGUGUGCAUGGUAGGUGUGGGCAGGUAGGUGUGCACACACACAAGUUGCUGCCUGAGACAAGGCCCCACCUGGCCCAGGGGCAUGCCAAGUGCUACUCUGGGGUCUGGGCAAAGCUGUGGCUCUCCUGAGGGCUUCUCUGGCAGUUGGGGACCCCUAGAGAAAGGCUUCUCUCAUGGCCCUGCGGGGCUAGCAGCUCCCAGACUACAUAUGGGGGAACCUGGUGGUCCUGGCCAACAGCUUCUCCAGAUGCCCUUCUGUGUGACUAGCCAGUGCCCUGCAAUUCACAGCCUUGGCCCAGCAAGGUGAGGAGUCCAGGCACUGGCUUGGCAGCACCUCACUAUUUCUGAGUCUUGGCAUUGGGCAUCCGCUUUUUUUUUUUUUUUUGAAAAAGAGUUUUGCUCUGUCGCCCAGGCUGGAGUGCAGUGGCGCAAUCUCGGCUCACUGCAAGCUCCGCCUCCCGGGUUCAAGCAAUUUUCCUGCGUCAGCCUCCCGAGUAGCUGGGACUACAGGCGGCUGCCACCACGCCCGGCUAAUUUUUUGUAUUUUUAGUAGAGACGGGGUUUCACACUCUUAGCCAGGAUGGUCUCAAUCUCCUGACCUCGUGAUCUGUGUGCCUCGGCCUCCCAAAGUGCUGGGAUUACAGGCGUGAGCCACCAUGCCCAGCCUACUUUUUUUUUUUUUUAAGAGAUGGGGUCUUGCUCUCUCUUCUAGGCUAGAGUACGUGGUAUGAACAUGGCUCACUGUAUCCUCUUGGGUUUAAGUGAUCCUCUGCCUCAGCCUCCCAAGCAGCUGGGACUAUAGGUAUGCAACACCACGCCCAGCUAAUCUGCUACUUUUGUUUGUUUAUUUAUUUGAGACAGGAUCUCGCUCUGUUGCCCAGGUUAUUUAUUUGUUUGUUUGUUUGCGACAGGGUCUCGCUCUGUUGUCCAGGUUGGAGUAUAGUGGUACAAUCAUGAUUCAUUGCAACCUCAAUCUACUGGGCUCAGGUGAUCCUCCCACCUCAGCCUCCCAGAGAGCUGGGACUACAGGCAUGUGCCACUAAAAUU